CUGUAGGACCAAGGAUUCUGAGCACAAACUGUCAAAGCCUAUGCUGUGUAUACCAUCAACAUCCGAGAAGGGUGUUACAGGAAGACUUGCUUGGAGCUCCAUGCUAUUCUGUUUUCUCAUAAUCUCAGCUCUCCCAGACAUGGAAGAUUUUAAAUGUAGUUCUCAGUGAAGUGGCCAGGAAGAAACAGAGAGGAGACAGAGGCGGUGGGAAAGAAGUCAGUGCUGCAGGCUUCAAGCAAAGGGAAACCUUAAUUGGACCAGACCAGUCAUCAGCAACUGAUUACUAUGGAGACAGGAGGAAGUCUGGAUUUAGACAAAGUGGGAGGUGCCCCCUAAUCCAGGCCCUGGGCACGUCUUUCCUUUGACGAAAACCUGAUUCCCAGUGGAUGGACGGGGAAAUGAACACAAUACUGCUAGGACCAUGGAUGGGAACAAGUACAGACCCAACCUGGCCCCACCCCCCAAAUCAACAGAAAAUCUCACACGGAAGUCACAGUUAUUUACCCUACAAAUUUCCAGGUUCCUCUGUCCAUUUAAAAAAAAAAAAAGGUUAAAGUCAUUGUUUAA